AACAUUACCAAAACUCAGAAACUGUUCUCCUGGAACCUUAUCUAAAACGAUAUUAAUUUGUAAGAAUUCUCCCUCUGUAGUGCAAGAACGAAGUAAUAUUAAAUGGAUUGCUGUUAGGCCAAAACUGGCUAAAAGGAAGAGCUGGGAAUAAGGAAUGGAUUUUUUUUCCCACUUGAUUUCCAGUAAACUGACAGUUGACUGAAACUCCACAUUUUCCCUCAUCAAGUUUUAAAGUCUGCAUGCUGGAUACAAACUUGUCACACACUCCUUGCAGACCAAUUUACUGAAACACAUGGAUCAGACAUUAGUGAUUUCUUCAUGGUUAUCAAACUCUGCCGUUUUACAGAAAGUCCAAAAGCUACGUAACCUGUCCUGUGAUUUACUGGAGUUCAGGUUUGAACUGUACCAAGAGCUUCUCUCCGUCUUAGCUGCAGAAUUUAUUUCUUCCAAAGUCUUAGAAAUGGUUCAGACUCAAAAUGACAUUCAAAAGCUGAACAGAAAUGGACAAAGAACACUUGAUUUCUUAAUAUGGGGACACACCCAGCAGGACAGAGUUCGGUUCCUUUGUUAAAUCUGUGUGUUGUCUUGUUUUAGAGAUUGGACUCGCAAAUUAGAAGCCGAGUUUAACCUUUAGAGUGUGCAGCUGCCUCUUGGAAGUGGUGGUGUUCUUGUAGAGAAUGGGUGCUUUGGGAUGGUCUUUCCAGAUUUACCCUGGCAUACGCACGGUGCCCACAAACCUUGGGAUUGCUCUGGAAGCAUUGUGCAUGAGUCUAAAAACAUGUGAGCAUCCUUCUUCAGGAACCAGUAACAAAAUUCUGAACAGCUGGAGAAGGAAAAAUCUGUACUGUGUUUCAAGUUGGUGCUUGCCCUGAAGCUUCUGCAUGGACUGAGCUGUGUCAGCAAGUGCACUUGAAUUUUUGGAAAUGAAUCACUCGCAGCAAAGCUGUUCACACAAGUUGUAUUGUACAUACUGGGACUAUUAAUAUUCCUGUUUGCAUUUCUGUCCAGUUUUUUUACAUUUCCUUUUAUAAUCCUUCUAUACCAUGUCAUAAAUUGAAUACUAAAUUUAAAAGAAUCAAGUGGAGCAUCACAUGAUAGCUCUUUUCUCUCCUCAAGACUUAGAGCUCAGCUUAAAGACUGGCAAGAACGUCUGAGCUUUAGCAGGACAACUGUCUGUAUAGUGGGAAUGUAAGCUGAUAACGAAUGUAAAUGUGUUUUUAAGCUUGCCACAAAACCCCAAAUGAGAGGCAGAGAGAGAUUAUGAAAAUCCCGGAGUGUUCCUUCUUUUUCCAACUCACCUUUCCUUACAGCAGCUCUUUUUCUUAUUUGUCUUAGUCUGAAAUAGUCCGUUGAAAACAGGAGUUGGAGGUUAAGUGUGCGGUGCUUCCUCCUGCCAUUUAAAAGAGCAAAAGAGCAAUUUACAAAUGCAGACCACUUUCCAACCCAGCCUUGCCACGUUAAGGAGGAGCACUCAGUGUUUGCUGCAGGUUAUUGGAGCCUUAGUGCCAGUAACCCCCAUCCAAUGUGACUGACUUUCCUGCUUAAAAGAGUGCUGAAAUUCAGCCAAACUUUGGGUAUCUGUAAUUGUCAGGGAAAGAAGGAAUAAAAACAUGGCAUGAGAAGGACUUCAGCUUUCUCCUUGCUAGAACCUCGAUGUUGAUCUCUCUCUGUCUCUCUCUGUUGUCUUCUGUGCAGCUGCAUCUGUUGCUGCACAACAUGAAUGGCUGUGCAGAUGCCACCUCAUGCCUUCAAAUAAGAAAAACGGAACUGGGGUUAACACUGCGCUAGUGCAGAACCUGUAGAAUAAAGUGGCCAUGCCUCUUUCUAAACCUGGUACUGCCAAUUGUGGAGAAGGUCAUGUGAGCACUGUUACUAACUUACGCAGCUUCUUCCAAGUAAUUUACAGUGAGAGCAAAGUUCUGAAGGACUUUUUCAAGCCCAUCCAGUUGGUACUGUUUGAUUGUAUUAAAAAUCUUUAUCGUAUGUGUCAAAAUUCUACUUUUCUGUAGGAGUUAAAGAAACUUACACUGCCUCCACAGACACUGCGUCAUCAAGGGAACAAUCAGACGACUUCAUCUGUGGACCCUUGCAACUCAAUGACCCAGGUUCUACCCAGGAUAAAGUUACAGUAGGUGGAACAAGCAAUAACAAUGAGGUGACCAGAGAGUGCCUGACCCAGGCAGAAAAGGAGCCAUGCAAUCAAAAUACAAAGGUCAUUAGACCUCAUGGACGACUUUUAGGAAGAAAAGCAGACGUCAGAAGAGUCCCACAAAGCACUCCAGAUGCCAUGCCUGAGAGAAAAAGAGCAACACCCAUGAACCCUGAAAAUGUCCACUGCAGUCGUUGCAAUGCUGUGUAUCGCAGACCAUUCAGGGACAGGGUGAUUCACUUGCUGGCUCUGAGGAAUUACAAGAAGCCAGAGUUACUUGAUCGCUUGCUGAGAGAUGGAAUAAUGCAAAAGGACAGGGGUACCCUUGGAAAGAUCCUUCAGCGGGUGAGAUCCUGCAGUUUAUGCCAGCAAUUUU